rnacentral:tRNA from 1 species
CAAAAUGUAGUUAAACUAGUAAAACAUCUCCCUUACACCGAGAAGAUACCCGUGCAAUUUGGGCCAUUUU